AAAAAGCCACCAAUGGCACUGUGGCUCAAGUGGUAGAGCCCUGGCCUUGAGCAAAAGAGCUCAGGAACAGAGCCCAGGCCCUGAGUUCAAGUACAAGGACUGGGACACUAACAGACACAACAACAUCCCAUAAAGGCCUAUAUGCUAAAUUCCACAAACAAGGAAGGAGUUCAAAGAGCUCUUGAAUAGGAAGGCUGGACAACAGCUCUCUCUCCACCCUUCAGUGCUCCUAGUGAAGGCAGAAGUAGACAGUGCCCUUAGGAGGCCCCAGGUAAAGGGAGUAGCAUAAGGAGAGGGAUUAUAAGGUAGUAUGUGCCCACCACUAGUAGGAACAGAGGAAAAAAGUAACAAAAUCGAUCCCUGAAGGCCAGGUUCACCUGACAGAGCGAUGCUGGGGUUUCACUGCAACAAUGGAU